rnacentral:rRNA from 1 species
GAUGAACGCUGGCGGCGUGCCUAAUACAUGCAAGUCGAGCGAACGGACGAGAAGCUUGCUUCUCUGAUGUUAGCGGCGGACGGGUGAGUAACACGUGGAUAACCUACCUAUAAGACUGGGAUAACUUCGGGAAACCGGAGCUAAUACCGGAUGAUAUUUUGAACCGCAUGGUUCAAAAGUGAAAGACGGUCUUGCUGUCACUUAUAGAUGGAUCCGCGCUGCAUUAGCUAGUUGGUAAGGUAACGGCUUACCAAGGCAACGAUGCAUAGCCGACCUGAGAGCGUGAUCGGCCACACUGGAACUGAGACACGGUCCAGACUCCUACGGGAGGCAGCAGUAGGGAAUCUUCCGCAAUGGGCGAAAGCCUGACGGAGCAACGCCGCGUGAGUGAUGAAGGUCUUCGGAUCGUAAAACUCUGUUAUUAGGGAAGAACAUAUGUGUAAGUAACUGUGCACAUCUUGACGGUACCUAAUCAGAAAGCCACGGCUAACUACGUG